UACGGAAGGCAGCAGUAGGGAAUCUUCCGCAAUGGACGAAAGUCUGACGGAGCAACGCCGCGUGAACGAUGAAGGCUUUCGGGUCGUAAAGUUCUGUUGUUAGGGAAGAACAAGUACCAGAGUAACUGCUGGUACCUUGACGGUACCUAACCAGAAAGCCACGGCUAACUACGUGCCAGCAGCCGCGGUAAUACGUAGGUGGCAAGCGUUGUCCGGAAUUAUUGGGCGUAAAGCGCGCGCAGGUGGUCCUUUUAAGUCUGAUGUGAAAGCCCACGGCUCAACCGUGGAGGGUCAUUGGAAACUGGGGGACUUGAGUGCAGAAGAGGAAAGUGGAAUUCCACGUGUAGCGGUGAAAUGCGUAGAGAUGUGGAGGAACACCAGUGGCGAAGGCGACUUUUCUGGUCUGUAACUGACACUGAGGCGCGAAAGCGUGGGGAGCGAACAGGGAUUAGAUACC
rnacentral:rRNA from 1 species